rnacentral:rRNA from 1 species
GAUGAACGCUGGCGGCGUGCUUAACACAUGCAAGUCGAACGAGAAGUGAAGACGGAAACCUUCGGGCGGAAGGCUUUAUUUCGAGUGGCGGACGGGUGAGUAACGCGUGGGUAACCUGCCUCAUACAGGGGGAUAACAGUUGGAAACGACUGUUAAUACCGCAUAAGACCACAGCACCGCAUGGUGCGGGGGUAAAAACUCCGGUGGUAUGAGAUGGACCCGCGUUCGAUUAGCCAGUUGGCGGGGUAACGGCCCGCCAAAGCGACGAUCGAUAGCCGAUCUGAGAGGAUGACCGGCCACAUUGGGACUGAGACACGGCCCAAACUCCUACGGGAGGCAGCAGUGGGGAAUAUUGCACAAUGGGGGAAACCCUGAUGCAGCGACGCCGCGUGAGUGAAGAAGUAUUUCGGUAUGUAAAGCUCUAUCAGCAGGGAAGAAAAUGACGGUACCUGAGUAAGAAGCCCCGGCUAACUACGUG